rnacentral:rRNA from 1 species
GUAGGGUGCGGGCGUUAAUCGGAAUUACUGGGCGUAAAGCGUGCGCAGGCGGCUCCUUAAGUCAGAUGUGAAAUCCCCGGGCUUAACCUGGGAACUGCGUUUGAAACUGGGGAGCUUGAGUGUGGAAGAGGGGGGUGGAAUUCCAGGUGUAGCAGUGAAAUGCGUAGAGAUCUGGAGGAACACCGAUGGCGAAGGCAGCCCCCUGGGCUAACACUGACGCUCAUGCACGAAAGCGUGGGGAGCAAACAGGAUUAGAUACCCUGGUAGUCCACGCCCUAAACGAUGUCAACUGGUUGUCGGGGAAGUAAUUCCUUGGUAACGAAGCUAACGCGUGAAGUUGACCGCCUGGGGAGUACGGCCGCAAGGCUU